rnacentral:lncRNA from 1 species
UAGCAUUCAUUAUGACCAUCUCUACAUGUUAGCCUACAGAUAUUUGGGGAAAAGCAUAAAUUAAUGAAUACAGGGACAGGCUGCCAUGACUUAAUGAAACAUAUCAUUUUUGUUUCCCCAUUGGUUUUCUGUCCUUGUAGAGUGAAUUGUCUGAUACAAACAUCUGUUUAUCUCAUGAAGCCAGCAAAGUGAUCCUGUGCAGCGUUUAUGUAAGUUCUGCAGUAAAGCAGUCUGGAUUUUUGGUGGCAAGUGCUUGGCUUCGCAUAGACAUUCAGGUAACCUGGCUUCUUUCACCUAGAAACUCCACUCAGAACUUUCUCCAGCCUGAAAGACAGCAAGGUGGGUUCUCUAUGUCAAAAAGGAAUGUAUUGAAAUCUACGCUCCCCCAACUGUGUUUUUAUGCACU